rnacentral:tRNA from 1 species
AGGGAUUUAGCUCAGUGGUAGAGCACUUGCCUGGAAUGUAUGAGGCCCUAGGUUCAAUUCCUAGCACUCCAA